rnacentral:rRNA from 1 species
GACAGAGGGGGCAAGCGUUGCUCGGAAUUACUGGGCGUAAAGGGCUCGUAGGCGGUUUGUCGCGUCGGGAGUGAAAUCCACUGGCUUAACUGGUGGCUUGCUUUCGAUACGGGCAGACUGGAGGUAUGCAGGGGAGAACGGAAUUCCUGGUGUAGCGGUGAAAUGCGCAGAUAUCAGGAGGAACACCGGUGGCGAAGGCGGUUCUCUGGGCAUGUCCUGACGCUGAGGAGCGAAAGCGUGGGGAGCGAACAGG